rnacentral:lncRNA from 1 species
CAGGCUGACCAGAGAGAGACUGUAUCACUGAUUUUGACUGAGAUCUUAAUAGCAGAUAAGGAAAUUAGCUGCUCUGUAAGCAUGAAAAUGACAAAAUAAAAAGCAGAAAAUACAGUUGUGUUGGGUGCCUGUCUUCUAAGCACCUUGUAUCCAUAAUGGCAUAAAUAAAUCUGUAAAUAAUAGAUCAAUAAGUAGACCCUUAAUAUCAUUCAUAAUAUAAAUCCAUGGUAUAUCUGUAAAUAACAUGGUCCAGGAAAUAUAGCUCCUUCAGAAAGAAGCUACAGGCUAAGCAUAUUCCUGGGAAGGCAUUAAAAUAGACUUUUAUUAAAGAUAAGCCUGAAGGAAUAGCUUUUACCCAUUCUUGAAUUUAAAGCUUCUGAAGAAAACUGAAAUCUUAAAAAGACAGAAUCCCUUAGUUUUUUAAUAUAUAUAUAUAUAUCAUUUAUUGAUUUUUUCUCUCUAGAUCACUUUACCUUAUGAAGUUAAUGACCUUUGUCUUUGAUAUGAUGUACAUUCAUUCUGUUCUCCACCGUCUCCCUUUGUCCCGGCUCUUUCUUUUUCUCUUUUUUUCUUUCUCUUUCUGUCUCUUUCCCUUUCUUUCUCUCUCUCUCUUUCAUUUUUUCUUUCUUUUGACCACAGCAUGCAGUGGCUUGAUGUAGGAUCUCGGUUCCCAGACCAAAAUUGAACCUCAGGCUGCAGCACUGAAAGCGCCAAGUACUCACCACUAGACCAUCAUGAACUCGCCAUUUAUUUAUUUAUUGUAUUUUUAAAAGAGAUCCCUCUUAUAAGGAUUACAUUGAUAAAAUCAUUAUCAAAAGAGUUAAAGUGACCUCAUGGCUUCCGAUUCCUGGGAUUACUUGCACUUUAAGAUGUCCAUAAAUCUUAGCUUGAGUUGUCGAAUACCUUGAAACCUAAAUGGAGUUAUUAUGGCUAUUUGAACUAAUUGCACUCCCCUCAGUCCAGACCAUGAAGGCAAAUAAAAAGAAGUACACACACACACACACACACACACACACACACGCACACACGCACACACUCUCUUUCACUGAUAAUUCUGUUCUUUGACUUUCAUCUACCCUUUAAAAAGGACAUACUUAUAUCUUUGAUUUAAAUUGAAAUAUUAAUAUAAUAGGAAUUCUAUGUAGGUAUUAGUAGGAAUAUUACUUAGGUAGAUAUCCCUGCUAUGUACAGAAACACUAUAGAGAAAGAAAGUUUUAUUAUUUGUUAGUUUUGGUUUUUAUAUUUGCAGUCAACAUUUACUGAGCAUCUGCAUGAGACUUCAGUUACUAACCAUACAAAGAUAUAGUCUUUGCCCUUGAAAAACUUAAGUCAGCUGCUUCUUUGGAUACAUAGACAGGUAGAUAGAUAGAUAAAUAGAGGGAGUACUUAGAUGGCAGGGGAUUGUCUAGCUCCUUUUAGAAUCAUAGCCCUACCAUCUUCUAGCUAGGAUUCCUUAAUUAAAGCUGAACCACCUAUUCUUUUAUACUAUUUUUAAUUGGCUUGCUGUUUUCUUUUCUUUUUUUUUUUUCUUUUAGUUUUACUUGGCUGCACCUGUGGCAUGCAAAGUUCCCAAGGCAGGUAUCAAAACUGUGCCACAGCAGUGACCCAAACUGCUGCAGUGGAAAUGCCUGAUCCUUAACCUGCUGUGCCUCAGGAGACUCUGGCUUGCUGUUAUAUAUAUAUAUUCCCUUUUUCUUAUGACACUGUGAAUUUUUUAAAUAGUCAUUUCCUUUGUUUUUCUCCAAUUUAACUCAUUUCAGUAGGGAGAGGACAGAAUUGUUUGAAAGAGAAUCAUGUGUAGUUAUGAGCUAAUAUGAAAAUAUUUAUUUGAUCAAAGCCAAAACACAAACAAAUAAACAAUUGUGAAAUGGUUAGAUGCCAACAUGUAAUUUUGGCACAGUAAAACAAGGAGUCAAAACCCAUGGAGUAUUAUUAAUAAAACAAAAUAGUAAAAGUGGCAACAUACUUUCAUUCAUCUUCACAAAACACUAAACUUGUACGAUAAUUAGAAAAUAGAAUAGUCUUGGCAAUUUAUACUAAACUAAAUAAUGAUGUCCUAAAAUGUAAAAUAUUAAGAAGUAAUCAAAAAAGGUUAUAUUCCUGUCUUUGUAAAUUUUAGGCAAACAUACUCACUUAUAUUUCCCCCAUUUCUUUUUUGUAUGUGAGUGUUUUCUUGGCCAAAGAAGACCUAGAGUUCCAGAUGUGUAUGGGUUGCUGAAUAUUGUCUUUUCUUUUACCUGUUUUAUAUAUAUUCUUAGAGCUCUGUAUAUAAUUUCUAUUUAUAAUUUCAGGUAAGUUGUGGGGGAGAUACACACAUAACCCCCUACGCAAGCAGACAGGGAGUGAAUAUAUGCAAAUAUGAAGUGAACAUAAGAUAGGACUAACACAUGAUGGGCAUUUAAAAAUUAGUUCCUGAUUUCCUUAUUUCCAUCUAUCUUCCCUCCUUCCUAAUUCUCCUGCCUAAUACAUUUUAAAUAAAAACCUCUAUUUAAUUGUGGGUCCCCAAGGCAGAACAUGUGAACAUAGUUCUGGUAACAAUAAUUCAUCUCCAAUUUAAAUACAAAUUGCUGUGAAACAUGAGACAUGUUUAUGAAGAUUCAUCUAGGUAUUCAUCUGGCCACAAACUUUACCUAUUUCCAAAGAAAUUAUUCAGACUAGGAAAUCUUGACACUCUUUUCUGUUUAUAUUGGUUGGUUUCUGGAGAUUGUUUUUUUGGCUACGUAAUAUUAAGAUCUAAAUGAAUGUUUUUGUCCACAAUGAUAUGUAAUUAGUAAGUGCUCGAUGACAUGGUCAGACAAGAUGUAUUUAAUAAAUAUUCUUGCUGUUGUUGCUCUCGGUAUCCUAAUUGUACUAAAGAUCACAUAUACACACACACACUUGGUAAUGAAGAGGGAAAAAGAGGUAUUUCUAUUGAAGUCAGUGAAGGCCACUGAUGUUAAUUUUUCACACAGCUGCCCAUACAUGAUUCAGAAAGUCUACAAACUAUGAUUUCGAUUUGUUUUCUCAAAGUCCUCAAAGAGAAUUAAGGCAAUUUCUUUCAAAAUCCUGAUGCCACCCUUGCUUGCUUAUCUUCUCCCUAAAGUGCCCCAGUCCUUACUUCCUUUCAGAUCUUCAGUGAAUUAAUUACUCGACAGUGGUUGUCCUUUGCCGAUAGCAAAUUAAUUCUAGCAGCACUCAGUCCAUGUAGGACAAACUGUGAUGUGCCCAUUGGUACUAUUCUUUGUGAUAUAAAUUGAGGGUUUUCAGCAUUUAUUAUUCCAUUCACAAUUUUGUAAAUAGUGAUGACACAUCAUAGCCACAACAAACUAUUAAAGACCACAGGGACAGGUAUAUGCACAAAUCCAGCCUCUGCCACAAAAAAGUAAAAGCCCCAUAGAUUAGAGUGAUGACUUUUCAUAUUUAAUCUGUGACAGCUGUGGACAGCACUGCUGGCAUCUAGCACACAGAACUAUCUUUCUCUUCACUUUGGGAUUGAAUGCUUGAUCCAAGAUAUGUUAACCAAAUGUAAAAAAUAAAUCUCCACCUGCUGGGUGACAGCAUGCCCACUAGCUGUCCCAUCCAGUUUUCUUAUGGAAAGAAAGUCAGAUUUCAUUGUUUUUAUUCUUAUUGAGAAGUCAAGUGUAGAGAAUAAAUUAUUUUCCAUCCUAUGCCUAAAAGAAGUUUGAUGUAUCUUUUUCCCUCCCUAGAGAAAAGAAUAAAAAUAGAACAAUUUAUUUUAACUGGAAAGCAAUAAAAAGUGACAUGAUGUUAAGAUAGAUAGUAAAAUCUCACUGGAAUGGAGUGAGCAAGGGAGAAAUUUCGUUUAUCCCUUAAACUUAACUCUUCAAGGAUAUUUAGAGAAAAAAGAAGAUGUUUAAUAUUUAUAGUUCUCUAUGGUUCUAUUUCUUUGAGUUGAGUUUACACAAAACUUUGAUUUAAGGGUCAUCUGGGCUAGCCAAAUAAUAGGGGAUACUAUAAACAAUAUGCUAUACACUUUUUUUUUGUACACAGAAGAUCAGCUGUGUUGGCUAAAUAUUAAAUUUUGAAAACAUUAUCUAUCAUCCAGUAGAUAGCAGAGGGCACCUCUUAUAUAAUAACAGUUUUGUACCUGGUUGCAGAAAAAAAAUGAAAGUUUGAUAAGUACUCAAAAACACUGGCCUAUUCAUUCUGCAAAAAUUUGCAACUACAACACAAUGUAACACCUGAGAUACUUCAAGUGAAAUUAAUUUUUUUAAACUUACAUCUAUUACUUAUAGUUCAUCUAGUAAGUGGUCCAUUCAUAUUCUCCUUGCUUAUCAACAAAUGAGAAGGCUCAGUGCAUUUUGAAGGUCAAUUUUUAUGGUUGCAUAAUUUUAUAAUUUUAUAAUUUUUUUUUGUAAUCCUCAGUGGCUAUUGUAAUAAAAAGGAAUGAAUUAAUAGCCUUUUAACUAAAGUGAACUUUUGAUACAGAAACAAAAAGAAUAUUGAGAGUGCCCUGCCUUAAAUGAAAGAUUAAGAGCUUUAUUCUGUGCAAUAAAUGGGGUAGGUCCUAUGAUCUAGAACUUUUGCAUUGCUAUUCCAGAUAUUAAAAGGGUGAUGUAAAGAGAGCUGGGAAAUUGUCUAUUGCUUGAAAAAAAAAAUUGCAGAAUGAUGCACCAACUAUUAAAGACAAGAUUUUUGCUUCAGACUGUGGUAACCAUGGGAUAUGCAUAAAUACUGAAGUAAUGUUCUUGGUCUUAGCUAUACCAUCCAAAAUGUCAAAGACGUUUUCUUCUUGACAGAAUUAGAAUUAAGCAAUUUUUAAAAGAACUUCCACCUGUUAUAGUCCAAAGAAGCACUGUUUGCGAUUCUGGAAAUAUUGCAAACUUCCUUAUCAUUUCUUCUUUUUUGCAAGGGGAAUAAUAGAAUGUGUGGCUUUAAAACGAACUUUUUUUUUUUUCCUCAUAGAGCCGAUAAUCAAAUGAGAGUAUCAAAAAUAAAAAUAUGUCAGGUGGGGAUAGUGGAAUGUAGAAAAAUAAAGUGUAAUACAAGACAGAGAGGAAGGGGAGUUGAUUUUAUGUAGAGUGCACCAGGAAAGCCUCUCUGAUUUUAUAAAUAACCCCAGUGAAGUGAGGAAAAAGCCAUGCAUGUAUUGGGUCACUGAAAUUUCCAUUUCAAAAGACCGUGGACACCACAGAUCCUGAGGCUGGAGAAUUCUUGGCUGCCAGAGGAAAUGCCGGUCAAGUUGACAUGGUGGUGUUGAUGACGGUAGUAGUAGCAAAAGUGAGAAAAAAAUGUCAAAUGCACCUUCAAUUUUGUAAUUCACCAAUCAGUGAAUGUGUACUAAUAAUAUGCUGUAGAUACAGGAUAAUAGACUCAUUCUUUCUUUUCAGUUACUCCAAAUAUAAUUGUACUAUGGUUUCUAGAAAGAAAGUGAUAUCACAAUUUAAUGGCUACAAGGUCUAAUUUAUGAUUAUUGUCUAUACAAUAUAAGCAAUAAUCAGGGAGUUCCAGCUGUGGCACAGUUGGUUAAGAUUCCAACUGUGGCAGCUGAGGUCACUGAAGAGGCGUGCGUUAAAUCCCUGGCCUGGUGCAGUGGGUUAAAGAACCCGGCAUUGCUGUAACUGCCCUCAGAUGCAAUUCCUGACCCAGGAACUUCCAUAUGCUACUGUUGCAGUCAUAAAAAUAUAGAUAAUGUUUCAUAAGCAAUAAUCAGAAGGGGUUACUCAAUAAUCAGUUAUCAAAUAAAUCAUUCUGGCCAUCAUCAGGUUUAUUCCAUUAAUCCAGCAGUCCAAUUUCUAGCUCCUCAGUUGUUCAUAGUAUAGACUCAAGCUCAGAGUAAGCAGAAAUGGGCUUUGAACAUGAG